UACAGAGGUCUCAAGCGUUGUUCGGAUUCAUUGGGCGUAAAGGGUGCGUAGGUGGCGCUGUAAGUCGGGUGUGAAAUUUCGGAGCUUAACUCCGAAACUGCAUUCGAUACUGCGGUGCUUGAGGACUUGGAGAGGAGACGUGGAAUUCAUGGUGUAGCAGUGAAAUGCGUAGAGAUCAUGAGGAAGACCAGUGGCGAAGGCGGGUCUCUGGACAAGUUCCUGACACUGAGGCACGAAGGCCAGGGGAGCAAACGGG
rnacentral:rRNA from 1 species